CCUCAGCUUGCCCUGGGGCUUGUAAUUCAAACCGGGAGCCCUGGGGCCUCGCAACGCAUUUCAGGACAGAACCCUAAGCUGGGUCGGCCAGGUAUCAGGCCCUGGGUCCUGCCAGCGGGAACCAGCCAUCUCUCCCUCGGACCCCAAAGGCCAUACUCCAGCCCUCUUCUCCCUCAGACCCGGGAGUCUGGGUCCCCCGGCCAUCAUCUGGACAUUUCUGCCCGUCGGUCACACUGCCGAAUCCCAACACCCCUUGUCCUGGUUCUGGCCUCCCUCCUUCCUCACAUCCAGAAGUCCAGGCCCCAACCCCCUCCUCCCUCGGACCCAGGAGUCCAGAUCCCCAGCCCCCUCCUCCCUCAGAUCCAGGAGUCCGGAGCUCCGGUUUGAACUUUCCACUCCCCUAAAUCCGACUCCCGCUGCUGCGUCAGGGAAAAAAUAAGCGACAGGUGGCACCUGCCCGCAGGGCCGGGUCGCGACCACCUGCUCCCGCUGCUCACCCGGCGCCCCUCUCCAGGCACCUGCUUCUGUCAGUCCGCCUGCCGCUGCCCCGCCUGAGCCCCACAGCCCCAGGCCGCGGAGGAGGGAGAGACUCGGGGAACCCCGACGUUCGCCCCUCCCCCAGUGCCACCCAGACCGUGCUCCCGCCCCUUCUCAGGGUCCCGGGCGGAGCUUCUGUCUGCCCCGCCCCAUUUCACAGGCUCCUGCUCGCCCUACAAAGGGGUGUCCUGGGCGGUCCCGGGCUGGUGGGGCGGAGCCUGCGGCCUCCAGCCUUGAUCUGGGGACUCAACCCGCCCCGGAACACUACUGGCCGGAGCCCACCUGUCCAGGUCACCAUCACAGCCUUGGCAAUGACCCUCGCGGCUUCCUCCCAGCGCUCCCAAAUCAUUCGCUCCAAGUUCAGAUCUGUCCUCCAGCUUCGGAUCCACAGACGGUAUCAGGACCCAAAAACCAGGAGUGCUGGCUGUCCCAGCAGAACCCCAGAAAGCUGCGAUUCGCAGCCAUCACACCCCUUGGUGACUAAGGACGCGAUUCCUGCCUUCCUUGAGAAUAUAAAAGUCUGGGUCCCUAGAACCUCUGCCUUGCAGGCUCCUGGGGUUUCGCUCCUUGGCCCCGCCCUCUCACGCCCGCGGUGGGGGGCUGUGGCCUGCAGGGCCCUCCUUCCCACACAGCCUUGUUCCUCCCUGCCUGGCUUGCUAUCUGCAGGCGUCUCGGCGUCCCUCACCACCUCUUCAGUCUUGGAUCCAGAUCCAUGGGUCUCAGCCACGGGCCCUGCCCUGGGCCCAGCCUCGCCCUCGGGUCCCACUCCUUUCCUCUUCAGUCCUGGGGACCUGCUCCCUGAAUCAGAAUAUGGCCUUUGGAGGUCCCUGAAGGAGUCUCCUAAGAUCUCCCAACAUUGGAGAGAGCCCAAGCCAAAGGGGAACUUGACAUACCACCAGUACAUGCCCCCGGGGCCGAGACAAGGGUCCAGGGUCGACCCCCAGGCCAAAAUGUUGGCUCUGGGUCCCCCUGGACCACCUCUGUGGGAAGGGACAAACUCCCAGCGGCCACCUCCUAGGAUGAAGCCCAUCCCCCUCACUCCCUCCCCGCCUGGAAUCCCCAGCGCCUCGGCCUCUCCACACAAGUUGGAACUUCAGACCCUUAAACUGGAGGAGCUGACGGUCUCAGAGCUCCGGCAGCAGCUGCGCCUGCGGGGCCUCCCGGUGUCGGGGACUAAGUCGAUGCUCCUGGAGCGCAUGCGCGGCGGCGCCCUGCCCCGCGAGCGGCCGAAGCCGCGACGCGAGGACAGUCCCGCGAGCGCUCCCUGGCCGCGCCUCAGGCCCAAGGCUCUGGGAGCAGUCCGGCGGCCGGGCUCGCUCAAGUCAGGCCGGAGCUGUCACCCUCCGCCUCUUCCACGUGCCGCGGAAACCCAGCCGACUGCUCCGGCUCCCGCGCGGGCUCCGGCGCUGACCCCUGCCUCGGCACCAUCCACGGCGGCCCCGAGUCUGGAGGAGGAGCUGCAGGAAGCCAUCCGCAGGGCGCAGUUGCUUCCGAACCGGGGCAUUGAUGACAUCCUGGAGGAUCAGAUGGAGCCCGAUGGAAGUGGCUAGCCCUGGGAAGGGCAGUCCCCCCUCACUGUCCACAAAGCCGCAGAGGCCAGAGCACCAGAAAAACAGGAAAUAAAAAGGCAGAAUGGAUGCGUAAAGCACGCAGAAGCUGGGGGCUGGGUGCCCAGGACUGGGAAGACGGAUCUGUCUGAGGGCGCCUGGGCCGCCACCAGCUGUGUCCACUGCAGGUGGAAAAGGACCGUGAGAUCAGUCACGUGCGACGGGACCCAGAGCCGGCGACUUCCCCUUGCCUUGCUGUCAGUUUGCUCCUGUGGCACUCCAGCCCAGUGCGGAUGAGAGACCGACUCCCUUACAAAUACGGUGGCCUUGUCUGUAUUGUGUGACCUCUCUGCAAUUGGCCCGCGGUGAGUGCUGGGCUCAAACAUCACUCUGAUUGAGGCAUCGGAUUGUCUCUUUCCGGGCUGUGAACCUGUGAACUCCAGGCCCCAGGAGUCUCUGUUGAGCCCUUGGAGUAUAGACCUCUCUAUUUCCCCCAUUACCUCUUUGGUCACAGGUGGAAUCCUGGGGGAUGCCUACGCCGGACUUGAAGUUGACCUCAGCUAAGACCGCUCAUUGUUAGCACCUACGCGUGGCCUCGGAGCGAGCCUGGGCCCCCUCACAGCAUGGUGGCUUCCGACACCCAGAUGGCGGCCGGAUGAGGGAAUGUUCCAGGCGGAAGUCCAAGCUGUCCUGGGGGACCGGCCACACACGCAGGCGAUCCGGACGUCGGCCGCUAGGUUCUGUCAACCCCGCCUUCGCUAGCGGGGAUCCGAGCGAGGUUCCACCGCCACGAGUGUUUACGGAGGGAACAGAUGGACCCGCUUCAAGUCCACUGAGCCAUGCUGCGCUCGGAGUUCUCAACAGUAAUCAUCCCAGGCCCUGGGAAGCCAGGGUUGCAGAAGUGGGGCCCCGGGGGUGUUGGGACGCACGCCAGCGACUGGCCAACAGGGCGGCGCUCUUUCGGAAACCGGGGGAAAGUUCCCCCCACCCCCACCCCCACCCCGUUCCGGGCAAACUAGAAAAAAAUGAGCCAGGCCAAGGACACAGGGCUUGGAGAGGCUUGGCCAGACGGCUCCUUGGCCAGACGGCUUUGUGGAGCGAGCAGACAACCGAGUUCAAGGCUUCCCUGUUUUCUGUACGUACAUUGCUUCCUUCCUCCUCGGUGAGAGCGCCCCGCUUUUCCUCCUGUCCGCCGCCACAUCCUUCAGAGGAGGCUGAUCAACACCCCGGCUGAAGGGGGCAAAGAUUUAUUGAUUUGCAGCUAAGCCAAUCCCAGGGUCUUAUUCGCCUGGCCUUGUGUUGGGUCAGGCGGGCAUGUGAUACACUUCCGGCCAGUGAGCUAUGGGGGGGGGGGGGGGAGGGGGGGACGGGGGGGGGCAGUUGCAGGAGGGCUUUGGAAUGCGUCCCUCACUCUUCAAAAGGGACCGAAGAACGGACCUCUUUUUGGCUGCCUCGUGAAGAGGUUGCCCGCAUGUGACAGCCGGUUAUGUGGCAGCUGUUUUGGGACCAUGGGGGUGGGGAGCGGUCUGAGAGGAGUUGAUGGCAGUUGAACAAGAUGGACGGAACUGGGGUUCCCGGUGACAUCGCCGAGCCGCUGCCUCGACGAACCCCAGAGAUGUGCCGCCACCGCUCUUGUUGCGUGGGACACAGCAACGUGCUAUUUCAAGUCGG